ensembl:lncRNA novel transcript
UAAAUGCUGAAUCUCACGAGAGAAGAAAACCAGCCACAUAAAGGAUUUGAAAGCUCAACUUGCUUUCCCACUCUGUUAUCCCUGGAGUUGGCUUGGAUUCACCCUGAAGCCUUCCCCCUCCCGGGGAAAGUUGCUUCACGUUGCAGCUCAGCAGGUUUGUCCAGCUACAUAGGCUCCAGAAAACAAGAAGCAAGACUGGAAAGCUGGGGAUGAUUGUACGCCCUCGCCUGAAUCUUACGUGGUUCCUCCUUCUUCCACCUGGCCAGUGCAGAGCCGUGGGUGCCACGUGGCCACUUCUGGAUUGGGUUCCCCUUGGCCUGCCACCCUGUCCUUCUGCUUUCCCACUUUGCCAGCCAGAGUCAAUUUGAGGACGCCAAGUUCUCCUCUCCAUACAGAGCUCCUGGUCUCCUUGUAACUUGUAACUCCUGGGCACAGUUACAAGUGCUGAAUUCUUGCGAGGAUGAACUCAAGAUACAAAAUAUGCUUGGCAACUCACCCCUGAGUGGCCACAGGCACACGCAGGAGUCGAACCCACCCACCUCUGCUGACAGUCAUGGGUCAAGCUCAAAGUCCUGGCUGCUUCUCUGCUCAAGAAAUUGCCACAGCCUCCGUAACCUUCAGCAGCCACCAUCCUGAUCAGUUAGCAGCCAUCAUCAAGACAAGACCCUUCCCCAGCAUAAACAUUACGGCUUGCUGAAGACUUAGAUCAUAGUUAGCAUUUUUAAGCAAUCAAGUGUUUUAAAAUUAAGAUCUGUGCCCGCAGAGAGAGCCUGCUCCAGCCUCUUUGCUACAGCCUUGAGUCUUCUGCUAAGAAAAGACACAGAGGCAAAGAGAAACACAUAGAGAGGAGAAUGCCUCGUGAAAAUGGAGACCGAGAUUGGUGCAAUGUGUCCACAAGCCAGGGAAUGCCAACGUGGCCAGCAACCACCAGAAGCUGGGAGAGAGGCAUGGAACAGAGUCCUCGGAGCCUCCAGAAGGAACCAACCCUGUUGAUACCUUGACUGAAAACUUCCAGCCUCCAGAACUGUGACAGAAUUAAUUUCUGUUAUUUAAAGCCAUUCAGUCUGUGGUAAUUUGUUACAUCAGCCCUGAAUAGCAAAUACAGAUGACCCAGGUUUAAAUCCUAGUUCUGCCACUUAUGAGCGUGGGUACAUAACUACUUUCUAGAGCCCCGGUUUCCUCAUCUGUAAAAAACCUCAUACGGUUAUUAAGAAGAUCAAAUGAGAUACAAACAUAAAUUCUUAACAGUGCUGGCAUGUUAAUUGUUCAAUAAAUAUGAGUUAUUUACAACAAUUGUGAUAGUAAUGAGUAACACAGAGAAAUGAGAAUUGACUUAACAGAGGCUGGCUCGGCAAGCCUCUAUGCCAACAAAAUUUAUUUGGAAAUCAAAAGUAUUUACUUCAGACUGGGCGCAGUGGCUCACACCUGUAAUCCCUGCACUUGAGGUCAGGAGUUGGAAACCAGCCUGGCCAACAUGGUGAAACCUCAUCUUUACUAAGGGAGGAGACCACCCCUCAUAUUGUCUGCAUAUGCCCAGUUUCUGCCUCCAAAGAAAGAAGAAGUAAAAACUAAAAGGCAGAAAUGAAGUCCACAGGCAGACAGCCCGGUGCCACACCCUGGGCUUGGUAGUUAAAGAUCGACCCCUGACCUAAUCAGUUAUGUUAUCUAUAGAUUACAGGCAUUGUAUAGAAAAGCACUGUGAAAAUCCCUGUCCUGUUCUGUUCUGUUAUAAUUACUGGUGUAUGCAGCCCCCAGUCACGUACCCUCUACUUGCUCAAUCGAUCACGACCCUCUCACGCAGACCCCCUUAGAGUUGUGAGCCCUUAAAAGGGACAGGAAUUGCUCACUCGGGGAGCUCGGUUUUUGGAGACGUGAGUCUUGCCGAAGCUCCCGGCUGAAUAAAGCCCUUCCUUCU